GUCAGCUGCCAUGUAGUUGAUGGCCUCCAGGUUGAGGCGGUUGGGGAACUUGAAUUCGUAUCCAUCUGGCAGCUUGACGGUCAGGUUGGCCUGGUCGAAGGCCCCGCCGUCCUUGCUGUUGCACACGAUGGUGUUGGCGUCGCCGUGGGCGUUGAAGCGAGGGUUGAAGUGCAGGCACAGGUUGUUGCUGUCUUUGCCCA
rnacentral:lncRNA from 1 species